rnacentral:rRNA from 1 species
ACUGCCAUUGAUACUGUUUUUCUUGGUUCCCCCUGAGGUAGGCGGAAUGUGUAAUGUAGCGGUGAAAUGCUUAGAUAUUACACAAAACACCNAUUGCCGUAGGCAGCUUACUAAGCCAAGACUGACGCUGAGGCACGAAAGCGUGGGGAGCAAACAGGAUUAGAUACCCUGGUAGUCCACGCUGUAAACUAUGAUCACUAGCUGUUGGCGAUACAAUGUUCAGCGGCAAAGCGAAAGCAUUAAGUGAUCCACCUGGGGAGUACGAUCGCAAGAUUGAAACUCCAAGGAAUUGACGGGGGCCCGCACAAGCGGUGGAACAUGUGGUUUAAUUCGAUGAUACGCGAGGAACCUUACCUGGGCUUAAAUGCAAAUUGGCGUUUCGGGAAACCGGAAUUCCCUUCGGUGGCAAUUUGCCAGGAGCUGCAUGGCUGUCGUCAGGUCGUGCCGUGAGGUGUCAGGAUAAGUCCCAUAACGAGCGCAACCCUUAUCCUUAGGUGCCAGCGGGUAAAGCCCGGGACUCUAACGAAACUGCCGGUGUAAACCGAGAGGAAGNGGGGAUGACGUCAAAUCACCCCG